rnacentral:tRNA from 1 species
GAAGGUAUAGCUCAGUGGUAGAGCAUGUGCUUAGCAUGCAUGAGGUCCUGGGUUCAAACCUCAGUACCUUCA